rnacentral:rRNA from 1 species
UGUUUUAACAAAAACAUGUCUGUGUGUAUAAGUUAUAAAGUCUAGCCUGCCCACUGAUUGAUUUAAAGGGCCGCGGUAAUUUGACCGUGCGAAGGUAGCAUAGUCAGUAGUCUUUUAAUUGAAGGCUUGAAUGAAAGGUUGGACGAGGGAUGAGCUGUCUCCUUUACGUGAUUUGAAUUUAACUUUUGAGUGAAAAGGCUCAAAUUAUUUAGUGGGACGAUAAGACCCUAUAAAACUUUAUAUAAGUUUAAUUUGGCUUACAAUUUGAGUGAAAAGUAGCUCUAUUAAGCUUAUGUUUCGUUGGGGAGAUGUAGAUAUAAUGUGUAACUGUCUGUUUAAUUUAAUAAUUAUAAUUAGUGUGUGAUCCUUCUUUGUGGAUUAAAAGUAUAAGUUACUUUAGGGAUAACAGCGUGAUUUUCUUUGAGAGUUCUUAUCGACAAGAGUAGUUGCGACCUCGAUGUUGAAUUAAAAUUUCAGUUAGGUGUAGCCGUCUAGCUGGUAGGUCUGUUCGACCUUUAAAAUUUUACGUGAUCUGAGUU